rnacentral:rRNA from 1 species
GAUGAACGCUGGCGGCGUGCCUAAUACAUGCAAGUCGAGCGAAUUGACAGAGGUGCUCGCACCUCUCGAUUUUAGCGGCGGACGGGUGAGUAACACGUGGGUAACCUACCUAUAAGACUGGAAUAACUUCGGGAAACCGGAGCUAAUACCGGAUAAUAUUUAGCUUCGCAUGAAGCAAUAGUGAAAGACGGUUCUGCUGUCACUUAUAGAUGGACCUGCGGUGUAUUAGCUAGUUGGUGAGGUAACGGCUCACCAAGGAAACGGUACAUAGCCGACCUGAGAGGGUGAUCGGCCACACUGGGACUGAGACACGGCCCAGACUCCUACGGGAGGCAGCAGUAGGGAAUCUUCCGCAAUGGACGAAAGUCUGACGGAGCAACGCCGCGUGAGUGAAGAAGGUUUUCGGAUCGUAAAACUCUGUUGUAAGGGAAGAACAAGUACGUUAGUAACUGAACGUACCUUGACGGUACCUUACCAGAAAGCCACGGCUAACUACGUGCCAGCAGCCGCCGUAAAAC